rnacentral:rRNA from 1 species
GAUGAACGCUGGCGGCGUGCCUAACACAUGCAAGUCGAACGAAGCUUGACGGAUGAUUUCUUCGGAAUGAAACCUGAUAUGACUUAGUGGCGGACGGGUGAGUAACACGUGAGCAACCUGCCUUUCAGAGGGGGAUAACGGCUGGAAACGGUCGCUAAUACCGCAUGAUGUGUUCGGAUGGCAUCAUCUGAACAUCAAAGAUUUAUCGCUGAAAGAUGGGCUCGCGUCUGAUUAGAUAGUUGGUGGGGUAACGGCCUACCAAGUCGACGAUCAGUAGCCGGACUGAGAGGUUGAACGGCCACAUUGGGACUGAGAUACGGCCCAGACUCCUACGGGAGGCAGCAGUGGGGAAUAUUGCACAAUGGGGGAAACCCUGAUGCAGCAACGCCGCGUGAAGGAUGACGUUUUCGGAUUGUAAACUUCUUUUCUUAGUGACGAAGACAGUGACGGUAGCUAAGGAAUAAGCAUCGGCUAACUACGUG